AUGUCGGUCCGGGUUUCGUGAAGAAAAUUAAGUUUUAAGUUGGAAGCUCUCACUCUCCCACUAGCGAGGUCGGAAUGUCGGAUACGUUCAUAUGUGGAAGAGAGCGAGAGACAGGAUAUAUAGGUUCUGGGUUUCGUGAAGACAAUUAAGUUUUAAAAAAUCUAGCCGUUGGACGCUCCCACUCUCGCACUAGCGAGGUCGGAUCCGUUCAUGGGAGGAAGGAGAGAGAGAGCAAGGAUAUGUCGGUCUGGGUUUCACAAUUAAGUUUUAAAAAAUCGAGCCGUUGGAAGCUCUCACUCUCCCACUAGCGAGGUCGGAUCCGUUCAUGGGAGGAAGCAGAGAGAGGCAGCGGAAGUGACCAGACCCACCGCCCUGAACCCAGUCCCUUUCACUCCGGUGACGAAAACUGCGGUCUCUUUUUCUCUCGCUAAUUUUCGAAUUUCUGUUUGUGCGGUUUUCGAUGGUGCCGCCCCUAUAAUCAGUGACAAACAGUUGGCUGUAAUCGGAGGGGGUAGCCGCUGGCUGUAAGCGCGAGCCACCGCCCUGGCUGAACCUAUCCCGUUUCUUUCCGGGACAAGCCGUUGGCUGUAAUCGGAGAGGGUGAUUCCGCCAAGGAGGAGGCCAAGUUUUUUACCAAGUUUGGGUCUAGGGUUUUUAUCAACAGCCGCUGGGAUACUUUGAGGGUUUCGUACAUUGACCAAUCCUAAGAUCGAGGUGGUGUGGAACUCGGUGGUCGAAGCCUAUAGAGAUGGAGAUAAGGGGGUUUUCGGAGGUUUUAAAGGUGAAUAACGUGGUGACUGGGCAGGUCUCAGAUUCGAAGGUCCCUGGUUCGUUCUUUGCCGUCAGGUAUGAGCCAGCAUCCAGGUUCUUGGAUUUCCAGAUAGAAUUUGGUUCUGAUGGUUUACGUUGUGACGAAGCCCAGAACAACACAUAUGAGUGUUAGUGACUUUUGGCCCUGCUCUUACUUUUGUUUUCUCCAUUCAGUCUUUCGGUAUUCUCUGGAGUUGAUUUUUUGAAGGUAAAUGCAGUGUGUGGUAUGUGUUUAAUGUUUUUCCAGCUUCGAAACUUGGAAGUAGCCUCUCCUGUGAAGCAGGGGGUAAGGCUGCGCACUGGCCUCUUCCAGAGCCUGCAGUAGCUGGAUCCUCCUGCACUGGGUUGCUCUUUUUUAUUUUGUUGAACUUAGCAGAAAUGGAUGAUAUGUAAGAAUAGCUUGCACUUUCCUGUUUGCUUGCCUUUUUUUCUUAUUGAGUGGGUCUAAUUUGUUUGAUUUGCUAGUUUAUUUG